AGUGAACGCUGGCGGUAGGCCUAACACAUGCAAGUCGAACGGCAGCACAGUAAGAGCUUGCCCUUACGGGUGGCGAGUGGCGGACGGGUGAGGAAUACAUCGGAAUCUACUUUUUCGUGGGGGAUAACGUAGGGAAACUUACGCUAAUACCGCAUACGACCUACGGGUGAAAGCAGGGGAUCUUCGGACCUUGCGCGAUUGAAUGAGCCGAUGUCGGAUUAGCUAGUUGGCGGGGUAAAGGCCCACCAAGGCGACGAUCCGUAGCUGGUCUGAGAGGAUGAUCAGCCACACUGGAACUGAGACACGGCCCAGACUCCUACGGGAGGCAGCAGUGGGGAAUAUUGGACAAUGGGCGCAAGCCUGAUCCAGCCAUACCGCGUGGGUGAAGAAGGCCUUCGGGUUGUAAAGCCCUUUUGUUGGGAAAGAAAAGCAGCAGGUUAAUACCCCGCUGUUCUGACGGUACCCAAAGAAUAAGCACCGGCUAACUUCGUG
rnacentral:rRNA from 1 species